UGGUGCAGUGGUUAAGCGUUUGGCUGCUAACCAAAAGAUUGGUGGUUCAAGCCCACC
rnacentral:tRNA from 1 species